rnacentral:pre_miRNA from 1 species
UUGAAAGUAUGAACGUUCGAAGGGAGAGUACUUUCCCCUAUAUAAGAUAUAUAGGGAAAGUACUCUCCCUUCGAACGUUCGUGCUUUCGA